GGCCUAACACAUGCAAGUCGAGGGGUAUAGUUCUUCGGAAUUAGAGACCGGCGCACGGGUGCGUAACGCGUAUGCAAUCUACCUUUUACAGAGGGAUAGCCCAGAGAAAUUUGGAUUAAUACCUCAUAGUAUAAUAGCUCGGCAUCGAGCAAUUAUUAAAGUCACAACGGUAAAAGAUGAGCAUGCGUCCCAUUAGCUAGUUGGUAAGGUAACGGCUUACCAAGGCUACGAUGGGUAGGGGUCCUGAGAGGGAGAUCCCCCACACUGGUACUGAGACACGGACCAGACUCCUACGGGAGGCAGCAGUGAGGAAUAUUGGACAAUGGGCGCAAGCCUGAUCCAGCCAUGCCGCGUGCAGGAUGACGGUCCUAUGGAUUGUAAACUGCUUUUAUACGAGAAGAAACACUACUUCGUGAAGUAGCUUGACGGUAUCGUAAGAAUAAGGAUCGG
rnacentral:rRNA from 1 species